rnacentral:rRNA from 1 species
UACAGAGGGGGCAAGCGUUGUUCGGAAUUACUGGGCGUAAAGGGCGCGUAGGCGGCCCGCUAAGUCGAACGUGAAAUCCCCAGGCUCAACCUGGGAACUGCGUCCGAUACUGGCAGGCUUGAAUCCGGGAGAGGGAUGUGGAAUUCCAGGUGUAGCGGUGAAAUGCGUAGAUAUCUGGAGGAACACCGGUGGCGAAGGCGGCAUCCUGGACCGGUAUUGACGCGUGAGGCGCGAAAAGCUAGGGUAGCAAACGGG